rnacentral:tRNA from 1 species
GCCGGGGUCGCCUAGCCUGGUCAAUGGCGGCAGGUUCAGGUCCUGCUGGGUUAGUCCCUUCGUGGGUUCAAAUCCCACCCCCGGCA